GCCUGGGUGGCUCAGUCGGUUAAGCGUCCGACUUCGGCUCAGGUCAUGAUUUGGCGGUCCGUGGGUUCGAGCCCCACGUCGGGCU
rnacentral:tRNA from 1 species